rnacentral:rRNA from 1 species
UACAGAGGUCUCAAGCGUUGUUCGGAUUCAUUGGGCGUAAAGGGUGUGUAGGUGGCGCCGUAAGUCGGGUGUGAAAUUUCGGAGCUUAACUCCGAAACUGCAUUCGAUACUGCGGUGCUUGAGGACUGGAGAGGAGAUUGGAAUUCACGGUGUAGCAGUGAAAUGCGUAGAUAUCGUGAGGAAGACCAGUGGCCAAGGCGGAUCUCUGGACAGUUCCUGACGCUGAGGCACGAAGGCCAGGGGAGCAAACGGG